CUUCUUCACUUAUACUUUAUAAACAUCAAAAUGUCUCUCUAAAUCUUAAAAAAAAAUCAAUGUGCUUUAGCAUAAUGUAUUUGACAUAACCUUGGCAAUGUUAUAGUAAUAAAUAUUAAUCUUAUACAAAGUUGACAUUUGUUCUGAUAAACCUCAUAAGCCAAUGACUACAGGUGAUAAUGAAUACCACUAUGUAAUCGGUUUAUUUUAUGUCGAUAUGCAAUCAACAAGUUGAAAUUCUACAUCAUGACCUAUACCACCUUAACGCUAACAUUCUUUGUUCUAAUAGCGUUAUACUGGAACGUUGACUCGAUAGAAAAACGGCAAAUGACACGAUUGGAGACCAAAUGCAAACAAAAUAAAAAUUAUACUUAUCUACGUUACAGAAAUGCGGAAAAGUGCAUGAUUUGGAUGGGAAAAGAUUUGUUGUAUUUGGAUGCUGUAAAAUCUUGUCAAGGUUUUUUUCUAACAGGGUGCGCUAUUGGGCACAUUUAAGACACAGUCUGAACUAACAAUACUCCGGCAAUUUGCUAAGGAUACUAUUGUAUGGGUUGGUCUUGAUAAAAUUAAUAAACCUACAUUCACCUGGAUUGACGAUGGAAAACAAGUAACAAAUCUUACGUUCUACUUUCCAGGUAUGUCAGCAUCAACAGACAUGACAGCAAUAUCGGACUGCACUACGUGGAGCAUGAUGGUAUACCAUUUCACCUUUUCAACUGUAUUGUGUUUUAUGGCUGCUCCAUAUAUUUGUGAAAAACGCUAAAAUUAAAAUUGAUCCUUUUCGUUCAAAGAUUAUGAAAAUUAUAAAUAGUAUUUUCCUUACCUAAGAAUUGGUGAUAUUUAAUAAUUAAUAAAGUGUUAUUUUGUUGCUGUUGUUU